UUCCUACGGGGGGCAGCAGUGGGGAAUAUUGCACAAUGGGGGAAACCCUGAUGCAGCAACGCCGCGUGAGUGAAGAAGUCAUUCGUGAUGUAAAGCUCUAUCAGCAGGGAAGAAAAUGACGGUACCUGAGUAAGAAGCCCCGGCUAACUACGUGCCAGCAGCCGCGGUAAUACGUAUGGGGCAAGCGUUAUCCGGAUUUACUGGGUGUAAAGGGAGCGUAGGCGGCCUGGCAAGCCUGAUGUGAAAUACCGGGGCCCAACCCCGGGGCUGCAUUGGGAACUGCCAGGCUGGAGUGCCGGAGAGGG
rnacentral:rRNA from 1 species